rnacentral:other from 1 species
AAUCCCCUGCGGUGUUCGUCAAGGCCAUACAUUCCUUGAACCAAUGCUAAUUGGCAUCGGUUGCCGACCAUAGACGCCGCUGUUGUGAGCGCCCCUUACCGGGUGCACCUGAUGCGGCAGGAAAGCAGCCACUCUGAACCCAGGUUCAGGAUGCCGGCCUGAUCGGCACACGCGGGGGACCC